UGCACAACGUGAAGUACCCGGAUGACCUACUGCUUCCGCCGCGGAGCUGUCAGAAUCAAAAAUGGGGGCAGGCAGCGCGUCGGCUCUUUUUAAGUGCCAAUUCUGCAGAUGUGACUGAAAAAGACAGACAUUGAGACAAUGGUAAGAAUGGUGAUUUUGUUUAAUUAAACAAUUAUAAGCCUACUCAGACCAGACAGACCAGCCCCAGUCCUCCAUUUAUAGGAUGGCACUUCUCUUGUUAUAAUUGAGUGAUUAGUUUUAUUUGUCUUUAUUAUUGGGUUUGUGUUUGCUUGCUUUCUUUAUUUUUCAUAUUCUGUUAUUAAUGGCACAAUAUAAAAUGACUGGGUUUCACAAAAUGUCCUUGAUGGUAUUUAUAGUCCUUGACCUACUGAACCAGCUUGAGGAUGUGUUUUUAAUGGAGUUUCCAAAGCACUUCUGUAAGUUGCUCUGUAUAAGGGGGUCUGCAAAAUGUUGAAGCAAUUUAAACUUGAAAGUAUAAUGUACAUAUAAAAGUGCAGUAAUACAUGCAUAUUAUAUGAUUUGAAGUCGAUCAAGUUGUCAAGUUAGUUAGUAUUAUGUGUAAAUUUACACACAGGAGCAGGAUAAAACAUUUUUCCAAAUUUACAGGAUUUUCAUGAAUACCAAUUUAAAUUAAAUCUGUUGUAUCCAGCUUGAUAAAUGAAGCCCGUUGUCUGUAAAAAGUCCUUAGUGGUCACACCUGCACACUUAUUGCUGAGCAUUCAUAUUGCAGCUGAAAUGUAUAUAGGGAUGAUACAUAUGCAUGGACGAGCAUUAAUUUAUCACUGAAUUCACCAAUGGUAUUGCACUAUACUAAUUGAUAAGUACUCACUCCCGAUUUCUUUUAACGAUCUAAAUUAGUACUAGUAUUUAAUUCUCUUGCACACUCACACUACAUAUGUUAAACAUGGUACUAUCUGUAUUAAUUUCAAGUCCACUUGUAUCCAACUGUAUGGUUGCACAUUAAAUAUCACUGACUUUGGGAGGUCUCGCAGGUAAAACGGCAGAUUUGAUUGGUCCUUCUGACAUGAGGACAAAGGACCUGCCCAAGAAGCUUUGAGAUAAAGUUGUUAGAAAAAGCUCGUGAGAGUUUAAAAAAAAUAUUUCAGCAAUGCUUUGAACUUUCCUAGAAACUCUGUGAAAUCCAUUUUAACAAAGUGGAAAAAAUAUGGCAUAACCCAGACACUACCAAAUUCAGAAAUCUUUCCAAAUUGAGCACACAGGCAAGAAAGACAAUAUCAAAUACAGCAGACCGAAUACAGCCCAACACCCAGGUAACACCAUCCCUACCUCAAGGACAGUGGUGGUAGCAUCAUGCUCUGGGGCUGUUUAUCAGCAGGAGGAAGUGGAAAUCUUGUUACCGUCAAGGGAGAACCUGUUCCAGUCAGCCAGAAAUCUGUGUCCAGGGUGAAAAUUUACAUCCCGACAGAACAAGACCCAAAGCACAGGGCAAAACUUAAAAGGAAUGGCAUGAAAAAAAAAAGUUUUUGUUCUGGAACGACCAAGUCAAAGUCGAGACUUAAAUCCAAUUGAUAAUCUGUCGCAUGACCUGAAAAUUGCUGUCCACCAAUGUUCUCCAUCUAAAUCAGGAGAGUCGGAGACAUUUUUCAUUGGGUAAUGGGAGAAAAUGCCAAAAUCAAAAUAUACAAAGCUCAUAGAGAUAUAUCCGAGCCAACUAAAGGCUGUAAUUGCUGCAAAAUAACAGUGCAGUAAGUAUUGAUUCUGGAAGAUGAAUACUUAUUUAUUUUAAUUUUACUUCUGUAAAGUGUGGAAACUAAAUAAGCAUUUCUCUACAUGGCAGUCAAAGGUCAGUCAGUAAUUAAUCAUUCAUAUGACUUGAUUUAAUAAUUUGUUCUAAGUGGGUAACUAACUACCCAUUUUAGGUGUAGGUAGACUUUGGUGUGAUUUGACAAGAAAGGGUGCUGAGUAGGAUGUGAACAUUUAUAUGUGUGUUUUGAACUUGUGUCUCCGAAACCAGUAUAUAAACUGUUUGUCUGUCUUGGUAGGGAGAGAUGAGUGGAGGUAUACUGUGUGUGUACACUUAUCUCUCUAUCUGUAAGAUUGCAAUAAGGCUCAAGUUAUUUGGCAUAGAUUGUGACGGUGGGCCACCAGUCCACAUGCACAAAGCUCAGCACGCUCCUCGCAUGACUGCUGGCAUGGUGCUGAAAGGACAGCGCCACUUCAACACCACUGUUUUGGACGGCGAGUGAGCACACGACCAGGAGGCGGGGCGAAGUAAUAGAACACGGCUGGCAGCUGCUAACGACAAUGGCUGCUCCUCAUGCUCACAGAGAAUCCAAGGGAGUAUAAAAGGGGGCCUUGGCUGCAGCAUGGUGAGCAGAUUCUGUUUCCAUACUGAUGCUGGUUAACCUCUUUUACAGAAACUGCUGACAGCCAUGAUGGAACCGUGCCCUCUGCACCACGCUGAGAGCUCUCAUCCCUGGCACUCAAGGGAAAGCCCCUGACCUCUCACCACCGCUACCUCACUGCCCACGCCAUUACACCUGGCCCACAAAGCCCAGCAAGAUGCCCCUCUGCCUCGUCUCAACACAGCCCACAAUGCCACAAGCCAGCCUCGCUCACAUCCCCUGCAUCACCGCCACACCACUUCCCUCUCACUUUCAGAAAAUAAACUCAGUGUUUUUGUACUAACGUUGCCUCUGCCAUGUCUGUGUUCUGCCAUUUGAGGCUGUGAGUUGCUACAUAAUUUAUUGAAUUUCUUCUACAGUUUUUGGCAUAGUCAGUAGGACUCCAACAUUUCAGGCUCAGGUAUCAUCAUGAGGCAGGUUUAAAUUGAAAUGAAUAUAUUCCAUGGUUUUUGAGGAGGGCUUUGUCUACAGUGACAAAAUAAAGGUAAGACCAAUCUGUGUCAAAUAACUGUUUGUGAGGCAGAAAGAAACAUUUUUAAAUUAUCCUGUGUGGAUAUAUGUUCCUUUGUUGAAAGGGAUUGUCCUGUGUGGGCUACACAUCAAACACUUCACUUUAUCUCGUGUGGGUAAACAAUAUCCUGUGUGAGUAUAUUGAAAAAGAUAUAUAAAAAAAAGAGAAUAAGAAAAUAAGAGAAACUGGACGUGACAACCAAAACCAUCAUGUUGUGUUGGUGGCCACCCUGUGUUGUUGAAAUGUGUUUUUGUGUAAUCCCUGUUUUGUGUUCUCCUUUUAGAAAAAAGAUAACACUUCAAACAAAACACCAACCGUAUCUGGACCAAUGAAAGAGAUGACCAAAGCCAGGGACAGUAGGAUGCAGCCCAAAUAAAACUAUUUUUUGCUUUAUCAGGAGGGUUAUUUCCCAAUGAAGGUACUUAUACUAGAGUACUAGAGUGGUGAAUUAGUGCAGGGCAAGAAUUGAAGAAAAAGGAAAUACCAAAAAGGGAAAAAAGUAAAUUGCGAAGAAUUUCGAAGAAGUGGGAGAGAGAAGCGGAGAUAAGACAGAGGAAGUUGGAAGAAGAAUUCUCACUGUAGGACUUACAGUAUUUGAGAUAUGAGUCAAAAUGUAAAACACUAUAGUGACACCAUUAGCCCGAUCAGGCUCAUCUCUCUUGCCUGAGUAGCAUGAGGGAAUACAAUGUACUGACCAAGUUUCAUGUCUGUAGGACCUAUAGUUUAGUCUGCGAGAUCAGUUAUAAUAAUAAUAAUAAUAAUAAUAAUAAUAAUAAUAAUAAUAAUAAUGAUUAAAGCUGCAAGCAGCAUUUUCGGGGCCAAGCACCCAGACUCGGUGAGCCACACAUUCACAGACUUGCUACAGUUGUUGCCUAAGCAAUCACAGGAAAGCAGAGCUAUAACUUUAGGCGAAGACAGUCAAGAGUAAUUUGUAGUUUCACUCAUAUGAAUGUUUUGACCAUAGACAGUGGUGAAAUUCUCUGACUGCAGGAGGAAACGUAUAGGAUGGAUAAAUGGGCAGCAGGGUGGCAAUACUGCAGCAUUGUUUCAACAGGUAUCAAGAUGAUGUAAGCUAAAUGUGGUGAAGAUUGGACAAAAUUUGGAGGAGGAGUAUCAAAAAUGCCAGUUAGACAUAAGCAUUUCUGGCAUGUUAUUGUAACCUUUGACCAGUAGGUGGUGCUUUCACAAAAUUUGUUGCAUAGCCUCAGGUCAUGGUCCCGAAGAUGCUUACCAAGUUUUGUGUUAUUUCGCAAAGUCAUUGCUGAGAUACACCCUCAUAUCCUGUUUGGCGGCUUCACCAUCAGAUUUGUUGACCAUUACGGGCAAACCCUCUUGACUAUUCUAAAUUAUUUUGAUACAUUUUGUGAGGCUUACUCUUAAGUUGAUGUAUGCCAAAAUUGGUGAUGAUGGGACAAAUUUUGUAGGAGGAGUAGGGAAAAAAAAGAUGGCGGAAAAUAUAAAUAAGAAGAAGAAGCAAUAUAGCUGCAAGCAGUCAAAUGGUCUAGGAGGAGUUUGAAAAAGUAGGUUUUUCAGAAAAUUCAAAAUGGCAGAAAAUCUAGUCAGGCAGAAAUUGAAACCA